ensembl:lncRNA novel transcript
GGAAAGAGGGUUGAAGAAACUAUGAUUUCUUCUGGAACCAAAGGAUUGGCUCCUAGCUGUUCAGGGGAAGAGAGCUGGAAGCUGGGGACUGAUAUCAAGGAUGAGAGGGCCUGGAGCUGGGCAGUCCCAUGGUGGUCCACGAUGAGGCGGAGGUACGUGUAAACAGCCAUGGCAAUGAGGAUGCUGCUCUUCAGGACCCACUCCCUGCAGGGAGGAAACACACUGGCUCCUAUGCUCUGUCUAGAACUAUUCACCCUCCCAAUUCACGCUUCUUGGGCUUGGCUACAGUGCCUCAGAAAUAAUUGAUGAUUUGACA